UAGGGAAUCUUCGGCAAUGGGGGGAACCCUGACCGAGCAACGCCGCGUGAGUGAAGAAGGUUUUCGGAUCGUAAAGCUCUGUUGUUAAGGAAGAACGAGUGUGAGAAUGGAAAGUUCAUACUGUGACGGUACUUAACCAGAAAGGGACGGCUAACUACGUGCCAGCAGCCGCGGUAAUACGUAGGUCCCGAGCGUUGUCCGGAUUUAUUGGGCGUAAAGCGAGCGCAGGCGGUUAGAAAAGUCUGAAGUGAAAGGCAGUGGCUCAACCAUUGUAGGCUUUGGAAACUGUUUAACUUGAGUGCAGAAGGGGAGAGUGGAAUUCCAUGUGUAGCGGUGANAUGCGUAGAUAUAUGGAGGAACACCGGUGGCGAAAGCGGCUCUCUGGUCUGUAACUGACGCUGAGGCUCGAAAGCGUGGGGAGCGAACAGGAUUAGAUACCCUGGUAGUCCACGCCGUAAACGAUGAGUGCUAGGUGUUAGGUCCUUUCCGGGACUUAGUGCCGCAGCUAACGCAUUAAGCACUCCGCCUGGGGAGUACGACCGCAAGGUUG
rnacentral:rRNA from 1 species